ACAUGCAAGUCGAACGGUGAACACGGAGCUUGCUCUGUGGGAUCAGUGGCGAACGGGUGAGUAACACGUGAGCAACCUGCCCCUGACUCUGGGAUAAGCGCUGGAAACGGCGUCUAAUACUGGAUAUGUGACGUGACCGCAUGGUCUGCGUCUGGAAAGAAUUUCGGUUGGGGAUGGGCUCGCGGCCUAUCAGCUUGUUGGUGAGGUAAUGGCUCACCAAGGCGUCGACGGGUAGCCGGCCUGAGAGGGUGACCGGCCACACUGGGACUGAGACACGGCCCAGACUCCUACGGGAGGCAGCAGUGGGGAAUAUUGCACAAUGGGCGCAAGCCUGAUGCAGCAACGCCGCGUGAGGGACGACGGCCUUCGGGUUGUAAACCUCUUUUAGCAGGGAAGAAGCGAAAGUGACGGUACCUGCAGAAAAAGCGCCGGCUAACUACGUGCCAGCAGCCGCGGUAAUACGUAGGGCGCAAGCGUUAUCCGGAAUUAUUGGGCGUAAAGAGCUCGUAGGCGGUUUGUCGCGUCUGCUGUGAAAUCCGGAGGCUCAACCUCCGGCCUGCAGUGGGUACGGGCAGACUAGAGUGCGGUAGGGGAGAUUGGAAUUCCUGGUGUAGCGGUGGAAUGCGCAGAUAUCAGGAGGAACACCGAUGGCGAAGGCAGAUUCUUCUGGGC
rnacentral:rRNA from 1 species